AUGUUCUCGUCCCAAUCUGCAAGCCGCAUCAAUAACAUCAGAACGUCCCUCAUCAAUGCCCAGAAGGGGAAUCUCUCCGUCGCCUCCUACUUCGCCGCCAUGCGUGGCUACGCCGACGAGCUAGCCGCCGCGGGCAAGGCGAUCCCCGACGAUGAACUCGCCUCCUACAUCAUCCAUGGGCUCGACGCCGACUACCAGCCCCUGGUUUCUGCCCUCGACGCUCGCGUGAUCGCUGUGACCCUUGAUGAGCUCUUUUCCAUGCUGUCAAACUUCGAUCAGCGCAUGGUUCAGUUCCAAGGGUCCGGC
rnacentral:rRNA from 1 species